GGUAAACGCUGGCGGCGUGCCUAAAACAUGCAAGUCGAACGCAAUCCGCAAGGGUUGAGUGGCAGACGGCUGAGUAACGCGUGGGUGACGUGCCGAUUGGUGGGGAAUAACUGCCCGAAAGGGUGGCUAAUACCGCAUACGUCCUGUUCUUCGGUGGACAGGGGAAAGCCGCAAGGCGCCGAUACGAGCGGCCCGCGUUCGAUUAGCUGGUUGGUGGGGUAACGGCCUACCAAGGCGACGAUCGAUAGCUGGUCUCAGAGGAUGAUCAGCCAGACUG
rnacentral:rRNA from 1 species